CCCUUAGAUGUUCUGGGCCGCACGCGUGCUACACUGAGUGGAUCAGCGGGUCAGGUUGCGCGAAAGCGUUUCCUAAUCUUUAAAUCCGCUCGUGAUGGGGAUUGACGGUUGCAAUUUUCUGUCAUGAACGAGGAAUACCUUGUAAGCGCGGGUCAUCAUCCCGCGCUGAAUACGUCCCUGCCCUUUGUACACACCGCCCGUCGCUACUACCGAUUGAACGGUUUAGUGAGGGCCUCGGAUUGGUCUCGGCCCGCUCUUUACCGGGCGGCGCCGUUGGUCGAGAAGACGCUCGAACUUGAUCGUUUAGAGGAAGUAAAAGUCGUAACA
rnacentral:rRNA from 1 species